CUGCACUCUAGACUUCAUCAUUGGUUUUGCAGUCUAGAUUAAUAAUUGUAAAUAGUACUGUUGUUUAGAAAAUAAGGAAAGACAUUAUUAAAACUAGUUUACCCUCCAAUAAUUGUGACCCGAGCAGUAGAUUUCUUAGUGCGUGGGGUAUGAUUGGUGGCAAUCUACUCUAUUGCCACUUAAAGCAAAAAGUGGCAAUAUAUUCUUUAUAUAGACAGGAAGUAGGAAAACAAAGACUCUCUCCUCAUCUUGAGCCAUGGAAGUUCAAUCAAGAUCUUCUUAAAUUGGAUCGAACUCAAAACGUUGGAAUGAAAUGGGGAGCUUAAGCUGAGCUUCCAUGGAAGCUUCUAGGUGGACCGCAGGGUUCUUACCAUAUAGCUUAAAAAUACAAUGUUCUCUUCCUGCUCUUAAUUAACCAGUGGUUAUAAUGAAUUUUCUAACCUGCACGGUUAAAGCAGUGGGGUUAACCGGCAAGUCAUGGAACGGCGGAUAGGCUCGAUCCUCUUCGAACCUACCAAGGUGUUAUAUCGGCUCCUUCUCUACUAUUUAGGUUUUUUUGUUCUUUUUUAUUUUCCAUUAAUGUUAUUUCUUGAUUCUUGUUGUUUCGUUAAUUCUGUUGUGACUCUAUUUCUACGAUUAAAAGGUGAUACGAUGUUCGAAUUUGUUUAAACAGUGUUUACAUCCCUCGUUAAUUCAUGAAUGUGAAACUUGUUCCAGUGAAUGCCAUAUAAAGGAACUCUUUUUCUUCUAAAUUGAUUAAAGUAUUACAUAGUGUCAAUAAGAAUGCGGUAAUUGGUAACAGAUAAGUUGCUUAGUAUUGAUGUACAACACCUCAGAUUCGUUUUAUGUAGUUGUUAAAUACUAACGAAUAAAAUUGUGCAUUUGUUUUUUCUGUCAAGUGACUUGUAUUGGUGUUUCUAUUAUGCAUAAUUUGAUUAUUUAACAACUUGCAGCUGCCAAAAAAUUAAGAGUUUUUGAAUUCAACAAAAAGUUUAAGUAAUUCUACCAGCGAAUCGUAUCUCUAAGUUAUUUCAAAAACGAUGAUUGUUA
rnacentral:lncRNA from 1 species